rnacentral:pre_miRNA from 1 species
UCCGCAUGGUGUCCAGUGUUUCUCUCCACGUGCUGGAAAUAAAUCGCUCCCAGCACGUGGUGUGAAAUGCCACACGCCGUGCUGA